rnacentral:rRNA from 1 species
GAUGAACGCUGGCGGCGUGCCUAAUACAUGCAAGUCGAGCGAACGGACGAGAAGCUUGCUUCUCUGAUGUUAGCGGCGGACGGGUGAGUAACACGUGGAUAACCUACCUAUAAGACUGGGAUAACUUCGGGAAACCGGAGCUAAUACCGGAUAAUAUUUUGAACCGCAUGGUUCAAAAGUGAAAGACGGUCUUGCUGUCACUUAUAGAUGGAUCCGCGCUGCAUUAGCUAGUUGGUAAGGUACGGCUUACCAAGGCAACGAUGCAUAGCCGACCUGAGAGGGUGAUCGGCCACACUGGAACUGAGACACGGUCCAGACUCCUACGGGAGGCAGCAGUAGGGAAUCUUCCGCAAAGGGCGAAAGCCUGACGGAGCAACGCCGCGUGAGUGAUGAAGGUCUUCGGAUCGUAAAACUCUGUUAUUAGGGAAGAACAUAUGUGUAAGUAACUGUGCACAUCUUGACGGUACCUAAUCAGAAAGCCACGGCUAACUACGUG